rnacentral:rRNA from 1 species
AGUACCGUGAGGGAAAGGUGAAAAGCACCCCGGGAGGGGAGUGAAAUAGAACCUGAAACCGUGUGCCUACAACAAGUUCGAGCCCGUUAAUGGGUGAGAGCGUGCCUUUUGUAGAAUGAACCGGCGAGUUACGAUAUGAUGCGAGGUUAAGUUGAAGAGACGGAGCCGUAGGGAAACCGAGUCUUAAUAGGGCGCUUUAGUAUCAUGUCGUAGACCCGAAACCAUGUGACCUACCCAUGAGCAGGGUGAAGGUGAGGUAAAACUCACUGGAGGCCCGAACCAGGGCACGUUGAAAAGUGCUUGGAUGACUUGUGGGUAGCGGAGAAAUUCCAAACGAACUUGGAGAUAGCUGGUUCUCUCCGAAAUAGCUUUAGGGCUAGCGUCGAUGUUAAGUCUCUUGGAGGUAGAGCACUGUUUGAUUGAGGGGUCCAUCCCGGAUUACCAAUAUCAGAUAAACUCCGAAUGCCAAUGAGAUAUAAUCGGCAGUCAGACUGCGAGUGCUAAGAUCCGUAGUCGAAAGGGAAACAGCCCAGACCACCAGCUAAGGUCCCAAAAUAUAUGUUAAGUGGAAAAGGAUGUGGGGUUGCACAGACAACUAGGAUGUUAGCUUAGAAGCAGCUAUUCAUUCAAAGAGUGCGUAAUAGCUCACUAGUCGAGUGACCCUGCGCCGAAAAUGUACCGGGGCUAAAACAUAUUACCGAAGCUGUGGAUACCUAUUAUAGGUAUGGUAGGAGAGCGUUCUAUGUGUGAAGAAGGUGUACCGUGAGGAGCGCUGGAACGCAUAGAAGUGAGAAUGCCGGUAUGAGUAGCGAAAGACAGGUGAGAAUCCUGUCCACCGUAAGACUAAGGUUUCCAGGGGAAGGCUCGUCCGCCCUGGGUUAGUCGGGACCUAAGGAGAGACCGAAAGGUGUAUCCGAUGGCCAACAGGUUGAUAUUCCUGUACUAGAGUAUAUAGUGAAGGAGGGACGCAGUAGGCUAACUAAAGCGUGCGAUUGGAAGAGCACGUCUAAGCAGUGAGGUGUGAUAUGAGUCAAAUGCUUGUAUCUCUAACAUUGAGCUGUGAUGGGGAGCGAAGUUAAGUAGCGAAGUUAGUGAUGUCACACUGCCAAGAAAAGCUUCUAGCGUUAAUUAUACUCUACCCGUACCGCAAACCGACACAGGUAGUCGAGGCGAGUAGCCUCAGGUGAGCGAGAGAACUCUCGUUAAGGAACUCGGCAAAAUGGCCCCGUAACUUCGGGAGAAGGGGCGCUGGCUUUAAGUCAGCCGCAGUGAAUAGGCCCAAGCAACUGUUUAUCAAAAACACAGCUCUCUGCUAAAUCGUAAGAUGAUGUAUAGGGGGUGACGCCUGCCCGGUGCUGGAAGGUUAAGAGGAGCGCUUAGCGUAAGCGAAGGUGUGAAUUGAAGCCCCAGUAAACGGCGGCCGUAACUAUAACGGUCCUAAGGUAGCGAAAUUCCUUGUCGGGUAAGUUCCGACCCGCACGAAAGGCGUAAUGAUUUGGGCACUGUCUCAACGAGAGACUCGGUGAAAUUUUAGUACCUGUGAAGAUGCAGGUUACCCGCGACAGGACGGAAAGACCCCAUGGAGCUUUACUGCAGUUUGAUAUUGAGUAUCUGUACCACAUGUACAGGAUAGGUAGGAGCCUAUGAAAUCGGGACGCUAGUUUCGGUGGAGGCGUUGUUGGGAUACUACCCUUGUGUUAUGGCUACUCUAACCUAGAUAGGUGAUCCCUAUCGGAGACAGUGUCUGACGGGCAGUUUGACUGGGGCGGUCGCCUCCUAAAAGGUAACGGAGGCGCCCAAAGGUUCCCUCAGAAUGGUUGGAAAUCAUUCGCAGAGUGUAAAGGUAUAAGGGAGCUUGACUGCGAGAGCUACAACUCGAGCAGGGACGAAAGUCGGGCUUAGUGAUCCGGUGGUUCCGCAUGGAAGGGCCAUCGCUCAACGGAUAAAAGCUACCCUGGGGAUAACAGGCUGAUCUCCCCCAAGAGU